rnacentral:lncRNA from 1 species
GGGGAUGAGAUCGUCGAAGAUCCACACAUAGAGGACGAAUCAUAUUCUUAGGAUAGUGUUUCACACACUUUGAUUCAGAUAAAGUCUUUUCAAUUUUUUAUUUCUUUUAGUACUUUUUUUUUUGUUAAAAUCAUCUUAAAAUUAUAUGAACAACAAUAGCAAUUUCUGGAUGUUUUAAUCAAUUAUUUCCAACAUCUUCUCACUGGAUGUUUUGAUUGAUUAUUUCCAAUAUCCUCUCUCUUCUCUUUCCUCUCUC